AUUGAACGCUGGCGGCAGGCCUAACACAUGCAAGUCGAGCGAGCGGCGGACGGGUGAGUAAUGUCUGGGAAACUGCCUGAUGGAGGGGGAUAACUACUGGAAACGGUAGCUAAUACCGCAUACCAUCAGAUGUGCCCAGAUGGAAUUAGCUAGUAGGUGGGGUAACGGCUCACCUAGGCGACGAUCCCUAGUUGGUCUGAGAGGCUGACCAGCACCACUGGACGUGGGACACGGACCAGAAGCCUACGGGAGGCAGCAGUGGGGAGUAUUGCACAAUGGGCGCAAGCCUGAUGCAGCCAUGCGGAGUGUGUGAGUAAGGCCUUCGGGUUGUAAAGCACUUUCAGCGGGGAGGCGUUACCCGCAGAAGAAGCACCGACUAACUCCGUGCCAGCAGCCGCGGUAAUAC
rnacentral:rRNA from 1 species